rnacentral:lncRNA from 1 species
GAAAUGUUCCAUCCUGCAGAUCUGUCUUCCUGCGGAGUUUUAGUUGCAGCCUCACGCAAAUAUAACUUGCUUUCAAGUGGUUACAAAUAACUUGAUUUGCUAGUUCAGGCGUGUCAAUCUGUCACUCUGCAGUGAAGUUGAUCUGCGGAAAUAUUUAGCACUGUUAGUGGUACACAGUUUUUUGUACAAUGGGUGUUUGUUCAUUUCUUUCUUUUUUUUUCUUCACGUGGACAGAAACAAGAAUUAUCUCAGGCACUGAAGAUAGCAUAUAACUCUACAUUUGAGCUCUUCAAGAAUUACAGAACCCACUGCCAUUGGACAAACAAUGCAUUCCAAGAUCUAAUAGAACACCUCAACCGACAGGCCAAAUCACAUUUCGUCCCGGUGAUGAGCUCUGCACUUGAGAGGUUGGUGGAGAACUUCAAGGAGCUCGAUCAGUUUCUCACACAGCAGGUGAGAACUCAGCGAACGAUAGGCACCGAAAAAAAAGAAAAGGUUUAGAAUGUGUUCAUACCUUCAUAAUUCAAAUCUAUAUUGAUUAACUGUGUGGCUUUUUCUUUCCUACAGAAUUUUAGCUGCUGCGCGUGGGAAAAUGUGCGCCAGGACAUUCUGCGCGUCAUAGGACCACUUACAAAAAAAAUGACAAGACCUAGAAGAAAACAUGUUUAAUACAAUGCAUGCUGUAAAUUAAUAUUGUCAAUUAUUUAUUAAAACGCUUAAAUUUUAUAGUUAUUUUGCUAAUUUUCAUUUUUGCAUUGACUCAUUUUACCACAUCAACUUCAAUGAAUUUCCAAAUGGAUGAAUGUUAAUAUUCCGCUUUAUUACCGGUUCUGGGCUUAUGCUAUUUAUAAACACAUUUAUUAGAGAAUAACUCAUUUAGACUACACUAAAAUGUUUACAAUAUGCGAAAUUGUAUUGUCCUGUAUUAUACAAAACACUGUUACCCGGGAAUGUGCUAUUAUUAAUAUGAAGGAGUGUUUCGUUUACAUGUUGAUUGUAAUGGAUGUCUCAAUGUCUUUCUAAAAAAAAAAUGUGUAGACACGUUUGAAUUUGUCACUUGACCAAUGUUGACCAAAAAAUAAAAUAUUUAAAUAUUUAAAAUAUUUUUUCAGGGUGGGUUUUUUUAUAUAUAAGUUUGGCCUAUAUAUUUAAAUAUUUAAUAAAAAAAAAAGUUUAUUUAACACAUCUAUAUUUAAAAUGUGUUUGCUUCACAACAAUAAUUUAAGCAGUGCAUAAAACAAUUGGGCUGAUAAAAAAAGUAGCCUGCAUAUAAACUGCAGCGUUGGCUUAUCUUGCCAUCUACAGGCAAAUAGAUGCAACAACUUAAAAGUGCUUUAAUGUUAUCAUUAAUUGAAUAACGAACCAGAGAAAACCACAGUGGCGC